GCGGCAACAGCUCAAAUUUGAAAUCUGGCCCUCGGGUCCGAGUUGUAAUUUGUAGAGGAUGCUUUUGGUGCGGUGCCUUCCGAGUUCCCUGGAACGGGACGCCAUAGAGGGUGAGAGCCCCGUCUGGUUGGACACCAAGCCUCUGUAAAGCUCCUUCGACGAGUCGAGUAGUUUGGGAAUGCUGCUCUAAAUGGGAGGUAUAUGUCUUCUAAAGCUAAAUACCGGCCAGAGACCGAUAGCGCACAAGUAGAGUGAUCGAAAGAUGAAAAGCACUUUGAAAAGAGGGUUAAAUAGUACGUGAAAUUGUUGAAAGGGAAGCGCUUAUGACCAGACUUGAGCCCGGUUAAUCAUCCAGCCUUCUGGCUGGUGCACUUGGCCGGCUCAGGCCAGCAUCAGUUCGGCGCGGGGGAUAAAGGCUUCGGGAAUGUGGCUCCUCCGGGAGUGUUAUAGCCCGUUGUGUAAUACCCUGUACUGGACUGAGGUUCGCGCAUCUGCAAGGAUGCUGGCGUAAUGGUCAUCAGCGACCCGUCUUGAAACACGGACCAAGGAGUCGUCUUCGUAUGCGAGUGUUCGGGUGUCAAACCCCUACGCGUAAUGAAAGUGAACGCAGGUGAGAGCUUCGGCGCAUCAUCGACCGAUCCUGAUGUUCUCGGAUGGAUUUGAGUAAGAGCAUACGGAGCCGGACCCGAAAGAAGGUGAACUAUGCCUGUAUA
rnacentral:rRNA from 1 species